AGCCCUGGGCAUGCGAGGAGUUUCUGCAUAAGAUUUGGGGAGGUGGGAAGAGCACCCAACGAAUGUGUGGUACCAUCCUGUGGACUCGAGUCCCGGACUAAAUAAAAAGAAUUGCUGUAUAUCAGGAGUCUUCACACAGCUUCACGGCUCACUCCACUCAGGAGCUCAUGAGAGACAGAAGUGACUAUAUCACACACUGAACUGUGUCUUCAUCUGCAGGUUCAGUCAAGGAAGACUCCACUUCCACCCACACCCAGCUGGUGCCCAGCAGGUGCCCACAGACGUUGACCGGUGUCCAGCCUCCUUGUUUCUGCAGCACUUCCACCCCACCUACUCUCCACAAAGCAGCCGAUUUGACCUUUUAAAAGGCAAAGGAAAGAGGUCCCUCCGUCUACACAGUGGAAGCAGCUUUGAUGCCCUUUUCCUCUUUCUUAGCUGCCUGUCUGCCAGCUAGAUCCCACCAGACUCCGUCCCAAAGCCCCCAAACGGCGCUGUCACUGCCACCAGGCGUUAUUGGUUUUGGUUUUUAAACAUUGUUUUAAAAUGUUAAACUCUAAAAUAAAUGCAGAAGCAGCCCAGC